AAAUUGAAGAGUUUGAUCAUGGCUCAGAUUGAACGCUGGCGGCAGGCCUAACACAUGCAAGUCGAACGGUAGCACAGAGAGCUUGCUCUCGGGUGACGAGUGGCGGACGGGUGAGUAAUGUCUGGGAAACUGCCUGAUGGAGGGGGAUAACUACUGGAAACGGUAGCUAAUACCGCAUAACGUCGCAAGACCAAAGAGGGGGACCUUCGGGCCUCUUGCCAUCAGAUGUGCCCAGAUGGGAUUAGCUAGUAGGUGGGGUAACGGCUCACCUAGGCGACGAUCCCUAGCUGGUCUGAGAGGAUGACCAGCCACACUGGAACUGAGACACGGUCCAGACUCCUACGGGAGGCAGCAGUGGGGAAUAUUGCACAAUGGGCGCAAGCCUGAUGCAGCCAUGCCGCGUGUAUGAAGAAGGCCUUCGGGUUGUAAAGUACUUUCAGCGGGGAGGAAGGCGAUAAGGUUAAUAACCUUGUCGAUUGACGUUACCCGCAGAAGAAGCACCGGCUAACUCCGUGCCAGCAGCCGCGGUAAUACGGAGGGUGCAAGCGUUAAUCGGAAUUACUGGGCGUAAAGCGCACGCAGGCGGUCUGUCAAGUCGGAUGUGAAAUCCCCGGGCUCAACCUGGGAACUGCAUUCGAAACUGGCAGGCUAGAGUCUUGUAGAGGGGGGUAGAAUUCCAGGUGUAGCGGUGAAAUGCGUAGAGAUCUGGAGGAAUACCGGUGGCGAAGGCGGCCCCCUGGACAAAGACUGACGCUCAGGUGCGAAAGCGUGGGGAGCAAACAGGAUUAGAUACCCUGGUAGUCCACGCCGUAAACGAUGUCGACUUGGAGGUUGUGCCCUUGAGGCGUGGCUUCCGGAGCUAACGCGUUAAGUCGACCGCCUGGGGAGUACGGCCGCAAGGUUAAAACUCAAAUGAAUUGACGGGGGCCCGCACAAGCGGUGGAGCAUGUGGUUUAAUUCGAUGCAACGCGAAGAACCUUACCUACUCUUGACAUCCAGAGAACUUAGCAGAGAUGCUUUGGUGCCUUCGGGAACUCUGAGACAGGUGCUGCAUGGCUGUCGUCAGCUCGUGUUGUGAAAUGUUGGGUUAAGUCCCGCAACGAGCGCAACCCUUAUCCUUUGUUGCCAGCGGUCCGGCCGGGAACUCAAAGGAGACUGCCAGUGAUAAACUGGAGGAAGGUGGGGAUGACGUCAAGUCAUCAUGGCCCUUACGAGUAGGGCUACACACGUGCUACAAUGGCGCAUACAAAGAGAAGCGACCUCGCGAGAGCAAGCGGACCUCAUAAAGUGCGUCGUAGUCCGGAUUGGAGUCUGCAACUCGACUCCAUGAAGUCGGAAUCGCUAGUAAUCGUAGAUCAGAAUGCUACGGUGAAUACGUUCCCGGGCCUUGUACACACCGCCCGUCACACCAUGGGAGUGGGUUGCAAAAGAAGUAGGUAGCUUAACCUCCGGGAGGGCGCUUACCACUUUGUGAUUCAUGACUGGGGUGAAGUCGUAACAAGGUAACCGUAGGGGAACCUGCGGUUGGAUCACCUCCUUA
rnacentral:rRNA from 1 species